GGAAACUUCUGUCCUGGCGGAUCUUCCAGUGUUCAACACGAACAGAGCCCUGUCUCCACCAAACCUCUCCCAGGUUCAUACACACAUCUCUCUGUUUUUUGUUUUCUGCAAAAUCCAAACACUUUGGAUCUAGUUUCUAGUUUCUGUUCUUUGUUUUUGCGACCUUUCUAGUUUAUAUUCUUAAUUUCUUAUCAUAAGUUUUUAAAGUCUAAAGCUUUCUUCUUGGGUUUGUUUUUCUAUUGUGAUUUUCAACUUUGAAAAUAUCAAUGUUUGCUCUGUUUUUUUUAUAUCUUUCUUCUUUCAAAGCAAACUUGUAUAAUGAAGUUUCAAUCUAAUAAGAUCGUGUGUUGAUCUUACAGUGGUGAGACGUGAGGAAAAUCCAGUUAAUGUAAAGUUUCCGCCUCCGCUGGUGGCGAUGUCGCCGGCUAGAGAUUUAAAACCGAAGUUUCCGGCGCCGGGAACAGGAC
rnacentral:lncRNA from 1 species